rnacentral:rRNA from 1 species
UACAGAGGUGGCAAGCGUUGUUCGGGAUUACUGGGCGUAAAGCGCACGUAGGCGGAUUUGUAAGUCAGGGGUGAAAUCCCGGGGCUCAACCUCGGAACUGCCUUUGAUACUGCAAGUCUCGAGUCCGAUAGAGGUGGGUGGAAUUCCUAGUGUAGAGGUGAAAUUCGUAGAUAUUAGGAAGAACACCGGUGGCGAAGGCGGCCCACUGGAUCGGUACUGACGCUGAGGUGCGAAAGCGUGGGGAGCAAACAGG